UAUGAAGUGAGAUAUGAAAUUGGAUUGGAACAUUCCUUACUUCAUAUUUACUUUUACUUCAUUCUAGAGAAAUAAUAGAACGGGGUUGGAGAUGCUGCCAGAAUUCUUGAAUCUCACAUCAAAAGUGCAGUUCCAAACCUCGAUUUUACAAUCUCCAAUAAAGGUUGAAUUCAUCUCCUCCGCUUCUUUACCUUUCUGAUCCAUAUAAAUGUAUCUGAAAUUGUAUUAAAAAAAUCUUAAGUUAGCAUUUAAUAUUAAACAAUACAUUUUACAACGAACUGAGAACUAGAUGACUUGGAACCUUAAACAGCGACCAGUGUCACAGUUUAUAGGAAAAAUAUCCUCUCGAUUUCUCUACACAAUUUGAGCAUUCGUUCCAGUUGUUGCUUGAUAACGUCCUCCGGUAAAUCAUGGUCAACCCCUCUCACGAAAAGCACUAUCCGGCCGCAACUACCAAUUGGAAAAAUAAAAAGUUAGUUACCGAUAAAACAUGGAAAAAGCAUUUUACUUGUUAAAAAGCCGCGCAAGAUGUAAAGCAAAAAGUAAAUAUUGUAGGGACUAAAGCAUUUUACAUGAUAUUGUCGAACAUAUAUAAUUGUAAGGACUAAAUCAAAAAAAUAAAUAAGAUUUUAUGAGAGCUCAUUAUUCACCCACUUAAAAUUUGAGGGCAUGAAGGACUGUUAGAAUGCAAAAAUCUUCAAAAAAUAAAAGGAUAAAAGCUUGUUAGAGAUGCUCUAAAUUCAAAAAAAAAAGCCAAUGUUGCUGGAGAAAAACUUCUAAUGCACAAAAGAAAGGAUUAUUACUGGAAGUUGGCCCACCUAUUUUGUAUCUCGAAGAGACUCAAACAUAAUAUAUCUACCCUAAGGAUUUGAAUAUUACAAACCGUCUUGUACUGCACCGCAAUUAACAAUAACAAAAAUAUUUACAUAUACCAUAUAUCUAUACGUUUUUAUAACUGUAAGAAUCGCACUGCAAUUGAACCGCUUGCCCCGCACCGUUCAACCCGCAGUUACCAUUCGGAGCCUAAAUCGCUUCGUCUGCCAGUUUUUUUUCCUAACGAAAACAUCAACAACUUUAACAGUCUCUUUAAAGACAUUCUUACUACCAAUAAAAUGGUAAAUUUCAUGCCAAACUAAAAAAAAUAUAGUAGAAAUUGAUAGCAUACACUUACAUAUCAUCAUCGUAUGUGCCUUUGUCCAAAUUCGACAAGUAAGAUUAUGAUGCAUAUGAUAGAUUAAUUAGCUUUAGGUUUAGCUACAAGUAUGCUUUACUCUCUUUUCUUUUAUUCUGAUUGAUCGUUGUGGAUGUUGCCACGAGGAUGACAUUCGGACCAAUUUGCUUGAAAUAGUUUGUUCAAACUUUCUAGCUCAGCUCCCAUUGUUGAUUCUCUGAAUGUGCCUAUUAUCAACCAGUGAAACUUGUAUAUAAUUAAAGAUUUAAGUGAGGUAUAUUUCCCAUUCUAUUAUGUGUCAAGUGUCAUAUAUGAUGCUGAAACUGUGAAACACCAAAAGAAAUGACAUAUUUCCGUGUGCAUUGAAUUGUUAUCACGCAUUAGUUGAAUUUGCGACCAUAUACAGACUGGGCUCAAGUUGGAUAUAGAGGCGGAUGCCCUUGGCGCUUGGGUUUUGAUUUUGCCACCAAAUUCAACUACAGACCACAGUCAUGCUCAAGGUGGUUAUGUCGUCAUAGAUUUUGGCAUAACUAUGGGUAGGACCUAGCAUCCCCUAUCUUGUAAUGCAGUUUCUUUGUUUUUGUUAUUUUCUCGAUUACUUUUAUCAAACCACAAGGUCGAACCGUAAUCUAAUACUAGUCAUUUAUAUGAAAAGACUAGAUUCUACCGUGUGGAAAAUGUUAAUCAAUGCAUAACAAUGAAUGAUUUAAAAAUAAAUUAAAGGUCUUACUUCUGUUUGGUAUUUAUAAAAAAUCACUUCAAAAAAUAUAUGGUAGGAGUUGAGAUUGACAGAGUAGAUUAGUCUAAAGUAUUUUCCACGAGGAGUUGAAAUUAACAGAGUAGAUUAAUAAUCUAAAGUAUUUUCCACGAAAAAAAAGAAUUUAUUUUCCACGAAUAAUCUUUGAUUAUUGGGUUUAAGAUCUUCUACAUUGCCUAGGACAUUCUCUUCUAGAUAAUGUUUAAAAUCACAAUACCAAAAACCAUAUAUCCUUUGAUAUUAAGCUAUCCACGUCAUUAAAAAUAUUCUUCCAAUCACAACAUUUCAUUUCGACACGUCAGACGGGCUCCUGGGCUUACGUCUAAGCUUCAAGUUUAUCUAUUAUUUAGAGUGAGUCUACGUCUGGGCUUCAUUUGUAUUACGUCUGGGCUUUAUUUUUCAUAUGCCGAAAUCUAAAAAAAUGAAAGGACCCCGACGACGGAAGUCACGAGGAUCUACCUCCUACCACUUCGUCUUCUCCGCUUGAAACCAUAGCGACUGCUUUCGUAUCAGCUCCCUCUUUUCUUCGUCUUCUACACAAUCAAUACUCCACUUAACUUCGAUCAAUUAAUUUCUUCAUUAUGAUUUCGUUUCAGCUCCCUCUUCUCCUGCUUCUUUAUAUACUCAACUUCUUUCUUUGUACAAACCUAAACCCUAGAACCGCUCUAAUCUCAAUCCAUGGCGACGAAACCAAAUGGAAAGUCCCCUGUCUCAUCUGCUUCUGAUGAAGAAGUCAUGUUCUUCAGAGAUUUCUCUCUAGGUACCCACGAAACUCAGUUGCGCUUCCGUCUGAUCCACUUCUGGGAGGCUUGGAACCCCGACGCUUAUUGGCCUGAAGAUGCUCCUCAUCGACGAAAAGGUUAUAUGAAAUCUUCAAUUUUUUUACCUUUAGUUCCAACUUAUUUAACUUAGUUCCAAUCUUCAAUCUUCUAAAAAAAUUUGGUUUUUAGUUCUCACUUAUUUAAUAAAAAACAUUGUUAGUUCCCACUUACAUAAAAUCUUCGUAAUCUAUCUGUUUAGAGAUUUGAUGAAUAUAAACGAGUUUAAGAUUACUACCACCAAUGAUCUGUUUGCUCUGUUUAAAAAAAAUGGAUGAAAAUAAACGUGUUUAGAACUUUGACCACCACUGAGGUGUUUGUUUUCUUGCUUUAUCUCUAUCUACUUCAUCGCUUAUCACUUUUUCGUUUGCAUAUAAAACAUUGUUAGUUCCCACUUAUUUAGCUCAUCGACGAACAGGUACAUGAAAUCUCCAAAACGUAGUUAUUUAGUUCCCACUUAUUUACUUCAAACCGUUCCUCACUUACUUAUUUUGGUUUUGCUUAUGUUAUUCUUCGCAGGAACUGUUAUUCAAGGAUUCAUUUCGCCAGGACGUAUUCAAAAAUAAUUGCCUAAAAUGAUGUGAGGAUCAGUUUACAAACUCGACAACUUCCUACGUGUUGUAAGUUCUGAGCUCGUGGAUUCUCGGUGGAAGGGUAAGUGUGUUUUUGCGUUAAGGUAUUUGUAUUCCUUUAAAGACCAAAAAAUAUGUUAAAAAGUUUUGGAUUCCUGAUGUCAACUUCUGACUUUAGAACUGAAGCAGACCCACUGAUAUGUAGUGUUCUUAGAGUAAGGAACUUCGAGAUUCGAGUUUGAUUCUGUCUCGAAUGAGAUAAUACAUAUUCUAUCUAAUUUGAUGAAAUUUCAAAAUUGUUUUUUUUUUUAUCUUGGAGAGUCAUAGGAAGAAAGGGCUGAAUCGACUGUGACUGUUAAUUGAGAUACUACAAGUUACAAUUGUGAGUAAAAAUGUGGUUGCCUACUUUGAGCUCAGGCUCAAUUGAGGGAGUGAAGAGAAGAGGGGAGAUGCCAUUACACAGGUUCAUCUCAAUGUCUAUGAUAUAACGCAUGUGAACAACUACCUCUGUUGGUUUGGCAUAAUUCCAUUCUGGAAUAUACAGAUCUGGUGAUGCCCAUUACUGUUUCAUUAGAUUCUGAAUUUUGGUAUGUUUGAGUCAGAGAAGGAAGCCAAGAAAGAAGUUUUCACGAAGUAUCGAGUCCAGUGGAGUGGAGUUCUUGAUACUCUCACCAAAGGUGUAGUUUCUUUUUCUGUAUUCCACCAUUACUUAACCUUUUGCGACAGUUAUGUUUUUUUAAACACGAUCUGUUCUGAAUAAUAACUUGAUUUAUGCCAACACAGUGGUGGUCUUCAAUGUA